rnacentral:rRNA from 1 species
AUGAACGCUAGCUACAGGCUUAACACAUGCAAGUCGAGGGGCAGCAUUUUAGUUUGCUUGCAAACUGAAGAUGGCGACCGGCGCACGGGUGAGUAACACGUAUCCAACCUGCCGAUAACUCCGGGAUAGCCUUUCGAAAGAAAGAUUAAUACCGGAUAGUAUACGAAUAUCGCAUGAUAUUUUUAUUAAAGAAUUUCGGUUAUCGAUGGGGAUGCGUUCCAUUAGUUUGUUGGCGGGGUAACGGCCCACCAAGACUACGAUGGAUAGGGGUUCUGAGAGGAAGGUCCCCCACAUUGGAACUGAGACACGGUCCAAACUCCUACGGGAGGCAGCAGUGAGGAAUAUUGGUCAAUGGGCGAGAGCCUGAACCAGCCAAGUAGCGUGAAGGAUGAAGGCUCUAUGGGUCGUAAACUUCUUUUAUAUGGGAAUAAAGUUUUCCACGUGUGGAAUUUUGUAUGUACCAUAUGAAUAAGGAUCGGCUAACUCCGUGCCAGCAGCCGCGGUAAUACGGAGGAUCCGAGCGUUAUCCGGAUUUAUUGGGUUUAAAGGGAGCGUAGGUGGAUUGUUAAGUCAGUUGUGAAAGUUUGCGGCUCAACCGUAAAAUUGCAGUUGAAACUGGCAGUCUUGAGUACAGUAGAGGUGGGCGGAAUUCGUGGUGUAGCGGUGAAAUGCUUAGAUAUCACGAAGAACUCCGAUUGCGAAGGCAGCAUACCGGCGCCUUACUGACGCUCAGGCACGAAAGCGUGGGGAUCGAACAGGAUUAGAUACCCUGGUAGUCCACACAGUAAACGAUGAAUACUCGCUGUUUGCGAUAUACAGUAAGCGGCCAAGCGAAAGCAUUAAGUAUUCCACCUGGGGAGUACGCCGGCAACGGUGAAACUCAAAGGAAUUGACGGGGGCCCGCACAAGCGGAGGAACAUGUGGUUUAAUUCGAUGAUACGCGAGGAACCUUACCCGGGCUUAAAUUGCAACAGAAUAUAUUGGAAACAGUAUAGCCGUAAGGCUGUUGUGAAGGUGCUGCAUGGUUGUCGUCAGCUCGUGCCGUGAGGUGUCGGCUUAAGUGCCAUAACGAGCGCAACCCUUAUCUUUAGUUACUAACAGGUGAUGCUGAGGACUCUAGAGAGACUGCCGUCGUAAGAUGUGAGGAAGGUGGGGAUGACGUCAAAUCAGCACGGCCCUUACGUCCGGGGCUACACACGUGUUACAAUGGGGGGUACAGAAGGCGGCUACCUGGUGACAGGAUGCUAAUCCCAAAAACCUCUCUCAGUUCGGAUCGAAGUCUGCAACCCGACUUCGUGAAGCUGGAUUCGCUAGUAAUCGCGCAUCAGCCAUGGCGCGGUGAAUACGUUCCCGGGCCUUGUACACACCGCCCGUCAAGCCAUGAAAGCCGGGGGUACCUGAAGUACGUAACCGCAAGGAGCGUCCUAGGGUAAAACUGGUAAUUGGGGCU